ACCCUGCUCCAGGCAGCGUGGUCUGUAUGGCUCCGCCCUGGGCAGGAGGAGAAAGAAGAGGGCCAGGCACCACGUGCCUGCACUCUCCCUGGAUGCUGGAGGCUGCUCCGCCGUGGGCAGGAGGAGAAGGAAGAGAACUGGGUGCCGCCUGCCUGCACUCUCUCCGGAUGCUGGAGGCUGGAGGCAGUGAGGCAGCAACAGCGCGAGGGCGAGGCGACUUUGGAGCUGCCUCAUGCAGCGACCUCGCCUUCCGCUGCGCCUCCUCCCAGAACCCAAGAAGCCUGGAACCUGUGGCGUCCAGCCCUGAAAGGAGGAGACGGCAACCCAGCCGCGCGUGAGUCCGGGAGUCUGGGAUACCGGCGGCAGAGGAAGGACAGGCAGGAGUCUCGGCCUCUCGGGGAGCGACGUGCCGGGAAAGGCAGGAGGGCCCCAGCGGUGGGGGCGGGGGUUGCGCGCCGGGGAGGGCGGCCUCAGGCUGGGAGCCUGGCAGAUCGUCUGACUCUCCCCGAGCCCCAUCCCAGGCCGAGCCAGGACCCCUCUGAUGCACAGGCGUCUCAGGAGCCCGUUUCUUUCUUGAAUCCGGGGCCCAGUGCGGCUUGAACCUAGCCCCCGACCUCCUCCUCGCCCUCUCAGAGUCCGCUGGGGUGGGCGCUGAAGGAGCCCGGGUCGGAGAGGAGCCCUCCCCUUCUCUCCUGCGUGGAAGCCCUGCAGCCUCCGUUUCUUUUGGGACUGGGGUCCGGGGCCUUCUGCCUGACCCGGGGUGAGAAAGGGAGCCCUGAUCAGGACCCGGUGAGAGGGCGCUGGAGCCCGGGAGCGGCAGGAGCCUUGAGCGGCAGCCCGGGAAGAGGAUGGGGUCACCUUCUGCCCCAGGUCCCCCACUGCCAGGAUCUCUGUCACCUUCUGGGGGUCCUGUCCCCUGGGGUCCCACCCCCCGGGCUGCCUGUGGGUAUCUCUCAUCUGGAACUGGAAAUAACCCUCUUCAUAUUUUGCCUGCACUCUCCCUGGAUGCUGGAGGCUGGAGGCAGUGACGCAGCAACAGCGCGAGGCGACUUUGGAGCGGCCUCAUAUAGCGACCUCGCCUUCCGCUGCGCGUCCUCCCAGAGCCCAAGAAGCCCGGAACCUGUGGCAUCCAUCUCUGAAAGGAGAAGACGGCAACCCAGCCGAGGCACUACUGGGUUGGGGUCUCCACGACCGAGCUGGUCUCAUCAAGUGGCGUCCAACAAGGGGCUCAAACCCGGGUUGAGGGGUUGCUGGAGCGACGGAGAACGUGGAACUACACUGGAGGACACCAGAGUACUCUUAAGCAAUCCCUUGGCCAAAACCAGCAACUGAUUUGGAUACCAUCAAGACACCUGAAAUCUUGUCAUGAGCCAGAUACUGAGGAAGAGAUUUUGGGAAGAACCCAAGGACCCCCCAGUUGCAGCCAUGUCAAGACUGACAAUAAGGAAGACAUCAGUCCCAGCAAGCAACAUUCAUCGGGCACAGCCACCCAUGUGGGGCCAGAUCAAGAAGUUGACACAGAUGGCGGAAGAAAAUCUGAAGAAAGCGGAUGACCAGCUACAAUGAGUAAUCUAAUGUCUGCAGAUGUGGAUCCCGAAUCCUGCGAGAAGUAGCCCACCAUGACGAAGCUGCCUUUGCUUUUAUCGCUUUGCAAAAACAGAAAAGGGGACAUGCUGGGAACAGGCCCUAAGCCUGUCAUAAACAGGCCUUAAACUGACCAUGAACAGGAUUUCUGCACGAAUGUGACGUGCUCCUGAUGGCUAUGACGCCCACUGCUAGAAGUUGUUAGUUUACUGGAGCAGGGUAGGGAACACCUGGCCCACCCGGAGCGGAAAACUGCUCAAACCACAAACAACAGCAUGAGUGGCCUGAGCCUUAACAACAUGUUUUUGCUGCAGAUAAUCGGCCAGAGACUGUUUCUCUACUCCUCUCUAAGUAUGCUUUGUUUUUCGUAAGGAAUGCUUUUAGCUAAUCUGUAACCUAUAGAAACAAUGCUUAUCACUGGCUUGCUGUCAAUAAACAUGUGGGUCAAACUCUGUUUGUGGCUCUCAGCUCUCAAGGCUGUUUUCCCCCUGAUUCCCACUUUGCACUUUAUUUCUGUGUGUUUGUCUUCAUUCCUCUAGCACCACUGGGUUGGGGUCUCCUUGACCAAGCUGGUCUCGGCACAUAUGCAUGUAUGCCCAGGUCCUGAAAUCAGCCUUGUGGAGCCUGUGGGUAGGAAAAGUCAACCCUCUGUGCAUGUAGGCCUGGAACCUGACCAAUACUGUAUUUUCCUACCACGUUUGGUUUCAAAUGUGGAAACUGCCCAUACGGACCUACUGCAUUUGUUUUUAAAAAUCCUCUGUAAGUGGACCUGCACAGUUCAGGCCCAGAUUGUUCCAGGAUCAACCCUACAGUAGAAAUCAAGUAUCUUUUUCAUUGUCUCUUGGGAUCUGCCUUUUCACCAAUAAAAUAUGAGGGCUGUUGGGAGCAGGCCCCCCCAAAUCUGGCCAUAAACUGUCCCCAAAACUGGCCAUAAACAAAAUCUCUGCAGCACUAUAACAUGUUCAUAAUGGCCAUAACGCCCAAGUUGGAAGGUUGUGGAUUUACAGGAAUGAGGGCAAGGAACACCUGGCCUGCCCAGGGUGGAAAACCACUUAAAGGCAUUCUUAAGCCACAAACAAUAGCAUGAGUGAUCUGUGCCUUAAGAACAUGCUCCUGCUGCAGUUAACUAGCCCAACAUAUUCCUUUAAUUCAGUCCAUCCCUUCGUUUCCCAUAAGGGAUACUUUUAGUUAAUUUAAUAUCUAUAGAAAGAAUGCUAAUGACUGGUUUGCUGUUAAUAAAUACGUGGGUAAAUCUCUGUUUGGGGCUCUCAACUCUGAAGGCUGUGAGACCCCUGAUUUCCCACUUGACACCUCUAUAUUUCUGUGUGUGUGUCUUUAAUUCCUCUAGCACUGCUGGGUUAGGGUCUCCCUGACCGAGCUGGUCUCAGCAAGUGGAGUCCAUUGUGGGGGCUCAAAUCCAGGUUGAAGGGUCACCGGAGCAACAUUUGGAAAGGAAAACUAGCUGAAGGACAUGUGAAUACUCUUAAAGCAAUCUCCUUGGUGAGUAAGAAGGGGCGCUCGGAAGCGUCAGGGUAACAAUGGGACACGUUUGGGGUCUGGUUUGUUUCACCUUGGAACUUUUUCACACGGAUGAUGAGGAGGAAGGAGAGUUUAAUGAAGUAACAGAAGAGAGUACAGAGCACAUUUAUUUACCAGCUAAAGCUAAAGCAGCAAAGGAGGGAGAGAUUCAUCCUUACCCUUCUGCACCCCCUCAUGAUUAUUUUGAAGAAAAUGACUUUCAAGAUCUUUCUUUUCCAGAGGACACUGGGCGAAAAGUAGUUGCCCCAGUGACUGUUUGAGCAGCACCUCAAGCGACUGCUCUUAGUUCUAUUCACGCAGGAAUUCAGCAAGCUAGAUGAGAGGGUGAUUUAGAGGCUUGGCAGUUCCCUGUUAGAAUACACCACCCCCAGAUCAACAGGGAAAUAUUAUAGCUACAUUUGAGCCUUUUCCUUUUAAAUUACUCAAAGAAUUUAAACAAGCUAUAAAUCAGUAUGGACCAGGUUCUCCUUUUGUAAUGGGACUGUUAAAGAAUGUUGCUGUUUCCAGUUGGAUGAUUCCUACUGACUGGGAUGCUCUUACUCGAGCUUGUCUAACUCCUGCUCAGUUCUUAAAAUUUAAAACUUCGUGGGCAGAUGAAACUGCCAUUCAGGCUGCUUGCAAUGCCCAGGCCCAACCUCAAAUUAGUAUAACUGCAGACCAACUUUUGGGGGUUGGCAACUGGGCUAGUUUAGAUGUCCAAGGGGUCAUGCAGGAUGAUGCCACAGAGCAGCUUAACAGAGUGUGCAUUAAAGCUUGGGAAAAAAAUCACUAUAGGUGUAGAACAAUACCCUUCCUUUAGUGCUAUAAAACAGGGACCAGGAGAACUAUACCUUGAUUUUAUAGCUCGGUUACAGGAGUCUUCUUAAAAAGAUGAUGCAGAUUCGGCUGCUCAGAAUAUAGUGUUGCAGUUAUUAUAUUUCAACAAUGCUAAUCCCAAUUGCCAGGCUGCUCUGCAACCUGUCAGAGGGAAAGCACAUUUAGUUGAUUAUAUCAAGGCCUGUGAUGGUAUCACAGGUAAUCUGCAUAAAGCUACUUUGUUGGCACAGGCAAUGGCAGGACUGAGAGUGGACAAAGGAAAUACUCCAUUUCCUGGAGCUUGUUUUAACUAUGGGAAGCAUGGUCAUACUAAAAAAGAAUGUAGAAAAAAUCAGCGAGCCAGGCUGCCA
rnacentral:lncRNA from 1 species